rnacentral:rRNA from 1 species
CCCUUAGAUGUUCUGGGCCGCACGCGCGCUACACUGAUGCAUUCAACGAGCCUAUCCUUGACCGACAGGUCCGGGUAAUCUUUGAAUCUGCAUCGUGACGGGGAUAGAUUAUUGCAAUUAUUAAUCUUCAACGAGGAAUGCCUAGUAGGCGCAAGUCAUCAGCUUGCGUCGAUUACGUCCCUGCCCUUUGUACACACCGCCCGUCGCUCCUACCGAUUGGGUGUGCUGGUGAAAUGUUCGGAUCGGCCGUUUGUCGCGGUUUCCGCGUCAUGUGGCUGAGAAGUUCAUUAAACCCUCCCACCGAGAGGAAGGAGAAGUCGUAACA